rnacentral:rRNA from 1 species
UACGGAGGAUGCAAGCGUUAUCCGGAUUUAUUGGGUUUAAAGGGUGCGUAGGCGGAAUAGUAAGUCAGUGGUGAAAGCCUGCGGCUUAACCGUAGAAUUGCCAUUGAUACUGUUAUUCUUGAGUGUAGUUGAGGUGGGCGGAAUGUGUAAUGUAGCGGUGAAAUGCUUAGAUAUUACACAGAACACCGAUUGCGAAGGCAGCUCACUAAGCUAUAACUGACGCUGAGGCGCGAAAGCGUGGGGAGCAAACAGGAUUAGA